AAGUCGUAACAAGGUUUCCGUAGGUGAACCUGCGGAAGGAUCAUUAACACGUAUCCAACGUUAAACAACCCCGUGAACUUUCAGCCUGCUCUUGCAUGCCAUGAUGAAACAGCAAUCCCGGUAAAUCAUCGCCAAAACAGUUUUGAUUCGGGACCUCUGUCAAGUGGGGUGCAAUUGAUGCGGUAGAAGCAGUGGCAUGGCUUCCCCAAGUGGUCAGUGAAUAACAGCGUCACUGGCUAUGUAAGGAUAACGCCUCGGCCGGCAGACAUGUCACAGGGUCACCACGCCCCUUAAUAACCCCACUUUCAAUGCCCCGCCUAGUGGUAACGCGCUAGGUAACUAAAACCGAACAACUGUUAACAAUGGAUAUCUUGGUUCUC
rnacentral:misc_RNA from 1 species